rnacentral:misc_RNA from 1 species
UUUCCGUAGGUGAACCUGCGGAAGGAUCAUUACAAAUAAGGUAAAGGGGAAUAUCCCUUUUUACAUUUGCGCUUGUUUUGUUUGACAGAGUAAAUUCAGAUUAGAUAGACAACUUUUAACAAUGGAUCUCUGGGCUCUUACAUCGAUGAAGAACGCAGC